GAUGAACGCUGGCGGCGUGCCUAAUACAUGCAAGUCGAGCGAACAGAUGAGGAGCUUGCUCCUCUGACGUUAGCGGCGGACGGGUGAGUAACACGUGUAUAACCUACCUAUAAGACUGGGAUAACUUCGGGAAACCGGAGCUAAUACCGUAUAAUAUAUUGAACCGCAUUGUUCAAUAGUGAAAGACGGUUUUCCUGUCUCUUCUAGAUGGAUCCGCUCCGCAUUAGCUAGUUGUUAAGGUAACGGCUUACCAAGGCAACGAUGCGAAGACGACCUGAGAGGGUGAUCGGAGAAAAGGGAACAGAGACACGGAACAGAGGCCUAAGGGAGGAAGGAGUAGGGAAGAUUCCGCAAUGGGGGAAAGCAGGACGGAGAAAAGGAGAGUGAGAAAUGAAGGUCUAGGGAUCGUAAAACUCUGUUAUUAGGGAAGAACAAAUGUGUAAGUAACUAGGCACGUCGUGACGGUACCUAAUCAGAAAGCAACGGCUAACUACGUG
rnacentral:rRNA from 1 species